rnacentral:rRNA from 1 species
UACGGAGGAUGCAAGCGUUAUCCGGAAUCACUGGGUUUAAAGGGUGCGUAGGUGGGUGAAUAAGUCAGAGGUGAAAGCUGGUCGCUUAACGAUCAAAUUGCCUUUGAAACUGUACAUCUUGAAACACAAUGAGGUCAGCAGAAUGUGACAUGUAGCGGUGAAAUGCAUAGAUAUGUCAUAGAAUACCAAUUGCGAAGGCAGCUGGCUGGUUGUCGUUUGACACUGAGGCACGAAAGCGUGGGGAGCGAACAGG